CCUACGGGGGCUGCAGUGGGGAAUAUUGGACAAUGGGGGCAACCCUGAUCCAGCCAUGCCGCGGGUGUGAAGAAGGCCCUCGGGUUGUAAAGCACUUUCAGUGAGGAAGAACGCCUGGUGGUUAAUACCCAUCAGGAAAGACAUCACUCACAGAAGAAGCACCGGCUAACUCCGUGCCAGCAGCCGCGGUAAUACGGAGGGUGCGAGCGUUAAUCGGAAUUACUGGGCGUAAAGCGCGCGUAGGUGGCUUGAUAAGCCGGUUGUGAAAGCCCCGGGCUCAACCUGGGAACGGCAUCCGGAACUGUCAAGCUAGAGUGCAGGAGAGGAAGGUAGAAUUCCCGGUGUAGCGGUGAAAUGCGUAGAGAUCGGGAGGAAUACCAGUGGCGAAGGCGGCCUUCUGGACUGACACUGACACUGAGGUGCGAAAGCGUGGGUAGCAAACAGGAUUAGAUACCCGUGUAGUC
rnacentral:rRNA from 1 species